rnacentral:rRNA from 1 species
AGCCUGAUGCAGCCNUGCCGCGUGUAUGAAGAAGGCCUUCGGGUUGUAAAGUACUUUCAGCAGUGAGGAAGGGGGUAUCGUUAAUAGCGGUAUCUUUUGACGUUAGCUGCAGAAGAAGCACCGGCUAACUCCGUGCCAGCAGCCGCGGU